AGUCGAGCGGAGUGAUGGUGCUUGCACUAUCACUUAGCGGCGGACGGGUGAGUAAUGCUUAGGAAUCUGCCUAUUAGUGGGGGACAACAUUUCGAAAGGAAUGCUAAUACCGCAUACGUCCUACGGGAGAAAGCAGGGGAUCUUCGGACCUUGCGCUAAUAGAUGAGCCUAAGUCGGAUUAGCUAGUUGGUGGGGUAAAGGCCUACCAAGGCGACGAUCUGUAGCGGGUCUGAGAGGAUGAUCCGCCACACUGGGACUGAGACACGGCCCAGACUCCUACGGGAGGCAGCAGUGGGGAAUAUUGGACAAUGGGCGCAAGCCUGAUCCAGCCAUGCCGCGUGUGUGAAGAAGGCCUUAUGGUUGUAAAGCACUUUAAGCGAGGAGGAGGCUACUGAAGUUAAUACCUUCAGAUAGUGGACGUUACUCGCAGAAUAAGCACCGGCUAACUCUGUGCCAGCAGCCGCGGUAAUACAGAGGGUGCAAGCGUUAAUCGGAUUUACUGGGCGUAAAGCGCGCGUAGGCGGCUAAUUAAGUCAAAUGUGAAAUCCCCGAGCUUAACUUGGGAAUUGCAUUCGAUACUGGUUAGCUAGAGUGUGGGAGAGGAUGGUAGAAUUCCAGGUGUAGCGGUGAAAUGCGUAGAGAUCUGGAGGAAUACCGAUGGCGAAGGCAGCCAUCUGGCCUAACACUGACGCUGAGGUGCGAAAGCAUGGGGAGCAAACAGGAUUAGAUACCCUGGUAGUCCAUGCCGUAAACGAUGUCUACUAGCCGUUGGGGCCUUUGAGGCUUUAGUGGCGCAGCUAACGCGAUAAGUAGACCGCCUGGGGAGUACGGUCGCAAGACUAAAACUCAAAUGAAUUGACGGGGGCCCGCACAAGCGGUGGAGCAUGUGGUUUAAUUCGAUGCAACGCGAAGAACCUUACCUGGCCUUGACAUAGUAAGAACUUUCCAGAGAUGGAUUGGUGCCUUCGGGAACUUACAUACAGGUGCUGCAUGGCUGUCGUCAGCUCGUGUCGUGAGAUGUUGGGUUAAGUCCCGCAACGAGCGCAACCCUUUUCCUUAUUUGCCAGCGAGUAAUGUCGGGAACUUUAAGGAUACUGCCAGUGACAAACUGGAGGAAGGCGGGGACGACGUCAAGUCAUCAUGGCCCUUACGGCCAGGGCUACACACGUGCUACAAUGGUCGGUACAAAGGGUUGCUACCUAGCGAUAGGAUGCUAAUCUCAAAAAGCCGAUCG
rnacentral:rRNA from 1 species